GACAAAAUCCAUCCACCCGGCCGCGCUGCUGCUCAUCCGGCGGCCGCGGCGGCGUCCAUGAGCGCCGGCUUAGGUGCCCCCUCAGGAGGGCAAACUUUCCUUUUUAUAUAAAGUUCAAAAUGGCUCCCCGUAUCCCGCCACCGGAGGUGAACCUGCCCCUCUCGCCUCGGCCCGGGCGGCGGUGUUGCCGGCGGCUCCUUUCAGCAGCUGCCCCGAAGCAUCGCUCCCUCAGGCGCCCGGGACUCGGGGGCAGGAUUCCCCCGCCAGUGCCCUGGCGGAUCCCAGGCGGUCCGUCGAUCUCCUCCACUUCUCGCCCCUUUUCACCGAGCCAGCGCAGACUUUCAAUCCCCGGCGACGGGAAAAAAAAAGCCUUUCGCAACCGUCCGGGGUUAAGUUUGGCUUCCCGGCACGUGCGCUGGGGAAAAGUUCGCCGCCGGGCUCUGGAUCUCCGCUUCUCCGCCUCCGCCGCUGAUUCAUCCACCGGUGAUCUCUAUGGAGAUCGGCCGCUGCAAAAGCCGCCCCCGAGGAAGCAGGCAGGCGUCGGUGCCCGAGGAGGAGUUUCCUGCCUUUGCGCGAUCUCCUCGCCCCUUUUCACCGCGGCAGAUCCCCGGCGACGGAUCCGUCCGGGAACGAAAACAAACUGGCCAGCCCAAACCAGAGAAGAAAUGUGGCGCUAGGUGUGUUGGGG
rnacentral:lncRNA from 1 species